GAUGUUAUUAGGUAUGUGAUAAUCGUUGGGAGCCUUACUAAAAUAUCAACUGGAAGUAAGACCCUUGAAUUCAAUCUCACGAAUGAAAGGGGAGUCCAGCUUAGGGUGACACUGUGGGGAGAUUUGGGAGAGGGCAUGGUGAAAAGAAAGGCCAAAAAUGCUGGUGUCUAUACCAUACUGCUGACUUCCAUGAUUGCAAAAGAAUAUGUCGGUAACCUCUGCCUUUCCAGUUCCUCCUCGACAAUGUUGAUUGAUAAUGGUGAGUUCCUGCCAUAAAGACAUUCAAGUCUGCACUAAGGCAAGAAAUCAUACGGGUUUAAAUCCUAUGUAAUUAAGCGGAGGAACCAUACCCAGGUGUAGAAAAGAUCUCUCUCCUAAGCGUAGCAACAAUGUAACACGAUUCAAACCGGCAACGACAUUGUACACGCAACCAAUAUUUUUCAAACAUGUCGUGCGUAGCACGGGCAUUUAAACCCUCGUAGUAAUAACAAUAGUAGUUAGUAUCCUUAGAUGUAGGAAUUUUGUCAAGUCUACUAUUAUUAUUAUUUAUGCAAUGCAUUCUUCUCGGCUUUAAUCUUCAUUUUCUUCA